GGGCGUCUAGCUCAGUUGGUAGAGCAGCUGACUCUUAAUCAGCGGGUCGCAGGUUCGAAUCCUGCGACGCCCACCA
rnacentral:tRNA from 1 species